rnacentral:rRNA from 1 species
CCUACGGGGGGCAGCAGUGGGGAAUAUUGGACAAUGGGGGCAACCCUGAUCCAGCCAUGCCGCGUGUGUGAAGAAGGCCCUCGGGUUGUAAAGCACUUUCAGUGAGGAAGAACGCCUGGUGGUUAAUACCCAUCAGGAAAGACAUCACUCACAGAAGAAGCACCGGCUAACUCCGUGCCAGCAGCCGCGGUAAUACGGAGGGUGCGAGCGUUAAUCGGAAUUACUGGGCGUAAAGCGCGCGUAGGUGGCUUGAUAAGCCGGUUGUGAAAGCCCCGGGCUCAACCUGGGAACGGCAUCCGGAACUGUCACGCUAGAGUGCAGGAGAGGAAGGUAGAAUUCCCGGUGUAGCGGUGAAAUGCGUAGAGAUCGGGAGGAAUACCAGUGGCGAAGGCGGCCUUCUGGACUGACACUGACACUGAGGUGCGAAAGCGUGGGUAGCAAACAGGAUUAGAUACCCCAGUAGUC